GAGAGGACGAUCAGCCACACUGGGACUGAGACACGGCCCAGACUCCUACGGGAGGCAGCAGUGGGGAAUAUUGGACAAUGGGCGCAAGCCUGAUCCAGCAAUACCGCGUGUGUGAAGAAGGCCCUAGGGUUGUAAAGCACUUUCAAUGGGGAGGAAAACAGUCAGAUUAAUACCCUGGCUCUUGACAUUACCUUUAGAAGAAGCACCGGCUAACUCCGUGCCAGCAGCCGCGGUAAUACGGAGGGUGCGAGCGUUAAUCGGAAUUACUGGGCGUAAAGCGUGCGUAGGCGGUUCGUUAAGUCAGAUGUGAAAGCCCCGGGCUUAACCUGGGAACUGCAUUUGAAACUGGCGAACUAGAGUUUAAUAGAGGGGAGUGGGAUUUCAGGUGUAGCGGUGAAAUGCGUAGAUAUCUGAAGGAACACCAGUGGCGAAGGCGACUCCCUGGAUUAAAACUGACGCUGAGGUACGAAAGCGUGGGUAGCAAACAGGAUUAGAUACCCUGGUAGUCCACGCCGUAAACGAUGUCAACUAGCCGUUGGUCCUAUUUACAGGAUUAGUGGCGCAGCUAACGCAUUAAGUUGACCGCCUGGGGAGUACGGCCGCAAGGUUAAAACUCAAAUGAAUUGACGG
rnacentral:rRNA from 1 species